GCCCUCGCACAACGCUGUGUUUACCUUUUGUUCACGCUGUGUGUAUGUUGUGUUUACGUUGUGUGUACUGUAAAGUGUGUAUGUUGUGUUUACGUUGUGUGUACUGUAAAGUGUGUAUGUUGUGUUUACGUUGUGUUUACGUUGUGUGUAUGUUGUGUUUACGUUGGGUGUAAAGUGUAUGUUGUGUUUACGUUGUGUGUACAGUGUAUGCUGUGUUUAUGUUGUGUGUAUGUUGUGUUUACGUUGGGUGUAAAGUGUUUACGUUGUUGUAAAGUGUUUACGUUGUGUGUAAAGUGUGUACGUUGUGUUUAUGUUGUGUGUAAAGUGUGUACGUUGUGUUUACGUUGUGUGUAAUGUGUGUACGUUGUGUGUACGUUGUGUGUAAUGUGUGUGUGUAAUGUGUGAAGUGUGUACGUUGUGUGUACGUUGUGUGUAAUCUGUGUGU